rnacentral:rRNA from 1 species
AACGAACGCUGGCGGCAGGCCUAACACAUGCAAGUCGAACGGCAGCAUGCCCUGUAGCAAUACAGGGUGAUGGCGAGUGGCGGACGGGUGAGUAACGCGUAGGAAUCUGCCCUAAAGUGGGGGAUAACUCAGCGAAAGUUGAGCUAAUACCGCAUAAUCUCUUUGGAGCAAAGCAGGGGAUCUUCGGACCUUGUGCUUUAGGAUGAGCCUGCGUAAGAUUAGCUAGUUGGUAGGGUAAGAGCCUACCAAGGCUACGAUCUUUAGCUGGUCUGAGAGGACGACCAGCCACAUUGGGACUGAGACACGGCCCAAACUCCUACGGGAGGCAGCAGUGGGGAAUAUUGGACAAUGGGGGAAACCCUGAUCCAGCGAUGCCGCGUGUGUGAAGAAGGCCUGAGGGUUGUAAAGCACUUUCGGUGGGGAGGAAAUGCUCAAGGUUAAUACCCUUGAGAGUUGACGUUACCCGCAUAAGAAGCACCGGCUAACUCUGUGCCAGCCGCCGCAGUAACAC